AAGGGGCAAAGCACAUACAUGUAUUGAUAAACUUAGGGCAACUUUAUGAACUAUUUAAAUCUGAUCUGCAACAGUGUUACACAGUGCUGUUAUAUUGAAACAGAUGCUCAUCAACUUUCACUUCAGCAUAUCAAAGGUGAAGAUCUUUUAUGCAUGAAAAUACCCCUUCCACCAAGUAGAGGAUGACAACAAAAACAGCCCAAUGCCUCAUGUGAACUGGUAUCAAAGUUUAUGAUUGAGUCCCUGUAUACAGUAUACAGUAGUUUUCAGACUAUUGUAAUGAAAUUAAAGGUAUGGAAAAUA